CUCCUGCGAACCCAAACGACUAUUUCACACAUUUAACUCUCUUCUUCACCCUGCUGUUCCUCCUCCACCUACUAACUUGACCGCCUCAGACUUUGCAACUCACUUCACUGACAAGAUCUCUACAAUCAGAGAAGAGAUCUCAUCUUUCUUCUUCCCCUAACUUCACUCCCUCUGCUGUUCUAUGUUCAUUCACACCCGCUACAUUGGAAAAGGUUUCUGCUCUGCUCCAGUCCUCCCGCCCCACCACCUGCUCCCUAGAUCCAAUUCCCUCGCAUCUCAUCCGUACUCUGUCUUCUUCUCUUUCUCCACCUCUCAC